rnacentral:rRNA from 1 species
AGUGAACGCUGGCGGUAGGCCUAACACAUGCAAGUCGAACGGCAGCACAGUAAGCUCUUGCUCUUACGGGUGGCGAGUGGCGGACGGGUGAGGAAUACAUCGGAAUCUACUUUUUCGUGGGGGAUAACGUAGGGAAACUUACGCUAAUACCGCAUACGACCUACGGGUGAAAGCAGGGGAUCUUCGGACCUUUCGCGAUUGAAUGAGCCGAUGUCGGAUUAGCUAGUUGGCGGGGUAAAGGCCCACCAAGGCGACGAUCCGUAGCUGGUCUGAGAGGAUGAUCGGCCACACUGGAACUGAGACACGGUCCAGACUCCUACGGGAGGCAGCAGUGGGGAAUAUUGGACAAUGGGCGCAAGCCUGAUCCAGCAAUACCGCGUGGGUGAAGAAGGUCUUCGGGUUGUAAAGCCCUUUUAUUGGGAAAGAAGAGCAGCAGGUUAAUACCCCGCUGUUCUGACGGUACCCAAAGAAUAAGCACCGGCUAACUUCGUG